rnacentral:lncRNA from 1 species
UUUGCUCAGUGGUUUCCUCUGUAUAAAGGGAGCUCAGGCAGAGGCAGUGUUUUCCCAGGAAGGAGGAACUGCAGUGCUAGCUGCUGGGAGAGGAGCCACUUGCUGCUCGCCUGUGAAACCUCCUGAGAAGCUAGAAAGAUUCACUGUCUGCAAACCUGACUCCUGGUAUACAAUACAGUUACAUUCAUCAUUGGGAUCUUCACCUUUGAACCAAAAGAGAAUUGGAUGUCCUUGGAGUGGCUGCAGGGGAGGCUGCGGCCAGAAAGGCGGGACAGGAGAAGCCUGAGAAGCUGAAGCAAGCUCGAACCACCAGAGCACCCCAAGAAGCAGAGAAACCUGAGAAAACCAAGACUGUUUCUUCCAGUAGCAGAGGGGGAGUGCCAGUCGCAGUGCUGAGAAGCGAUCAGCUGAAGAAGAAGCUGCGACCUCCCAACAAAGCCUACAAAGAUCUCCAAGUUGGGAUUUGCCAUAGCUAGUCAGACAACAAAGAAAGCAUUAGCUACAUCCAUCGAACCUGGAUCAAGUAAACCUAAAGAAACGGCUCCAACUCUUGCUCCAAAAACCCUUUCAGUAGCAGCAGCUUUUAAUGCAGAUGAAGAUAGUGAACCAGAGGAAAUGCCUUCAGAGCAAAGAUGAGGAUGAAAAUAUUGGAAGGGAUACAACAACAUCAGCCGGACCAAACUCUUUUCAAUAAAGGGAAGAUAGGUUUCCUGACAACCAGAAGC